AGUUUGAUCCUGGCUCAGGAUUAACGCUGGCGGUGUGCCUAAUACAUGCAAGUCGAGCGCCCAGCACCUUUUCUUGGAUUUCGAUUGAAGCAAAGGUGCUGGGAGCGGCAGACGGGUGAGUAUCACGUUGGUAACUGCCUCAUAGUCAGGAAUAAGCCCUAGAAAUAGGGUCUAAUACCGGAUAGUCCCGCAAGGGUAAAGCUUCGGCGCUAUGAGAGGUGCCUGCGGCCUAUCAGCUUGUUGGUGGGGUAAAAGCCUACCAAGGCUAUGACGGGUAGCUGGUUUGAGAGGAUGAUCAGCCACAAUGGAACUGAGACACGGUCCAUACUCCUACGGGACGCAGCAGUAAGGAAUUUUGCGCAAUGGGGGAAACCCUGACACACCAACACCGCGUGAAGGAUGAAGGCCUUUUGGUUGUAAACUUCUUUUCUGAGAGAAUAAAUAUGAAUGUACCUCAGGAAUAAGCACCGGCUAACUCCGUGCCAUCAGCCGCGGUAAGACGGAGGGUGCAAGCGUUAUCCCGAUUUAAUUGGGCGUAAAGAGUCCGUACGCCUUUUUGUUAAGUAAAUAUAAAAGACCAGAGCUC
rnacentral:rRNA from 1 species